rnacentral:rRNA from 1 species
UACGUAGGGGGCGAGCGUUGUCCGGAUUCAUUGGGCGUAAAGCGCGCGUAGGCGGCCCCGCAAGUCGGCCGUGAAAUCUCCGGGCUCAACUCGGAGGGGUCGGGCGAGACUGCGGAGCUCGAGGUGGGCAGAGGGCAGUGGAAUUCCGGGUGUAGUGGUGGAAUGCGUAGAGAUCCGGAGGAACACCAGUGGCGAAGGCGGCUGCCUGGGCCUGGCCUGACGCUGAGGCGCGAAAGCGUGGGGAGCGAGCCGG